rnacentral:tRNA from 1 species
GGUUUGUAGCUCAGUGGUAGAGCACUUGCCUAGCAAGAGAGAUACGGGGUUCUAUCCUCAGCACCA